ensembl:miRNA cja-mir-4762 cja-mir-4762
UUGUUAUUCUUGAUACAGCAAAUCUUGAUCAGAAGCCUUCUUAGCUUCUGUUAAGGCUUCUGAUCAAGAUUUGGGGUGUCAGAAAUAAUGG